rnacentral:rRNA from 1 species
CCCGGAGGCAGGAACCAACAGGGAUUGCCUCAGUAACGGCGAGUGAAGCGGCAAAAGCUCAAAUUUUAAAGCUGGCACCUUCGGUGUCCGCGUUGUAAUUUUGUGAGGCAUCUCCGGGUAGGGCGCCGGCCUAAGUUCCUUGGAACAGGACGUCAUAGAGGGUGAGAAUCCCGUGCUUGGCUGGCUGUCCCCGUCCAUGUGAGGUGUCUUCGACGAGUCGAGUUGUUUGGGAAUGCAGCUCAAAAUGGGUGGUAAAUUUCAUCUAAAGCUAAAUAUUGGUGGGAGACCGAUAGCGCACAAGUAGAGUGAUCGAAAGAUGAAAAGCACUUUGAAAAUAGAGUUAAAAAGUACGUGAAAUUGUUGAAAGGGAAGCGCUUGAGACCAGACUUCGGUGGGGGGUGAUCAGCUGUCCUUCUGGGCGGUGCACUUGCUCCCCUCCGGGCCAGCAUCGGUUGGGGCGGCGGGAUAAAGAUCCCGGGAAUGUGGCUCCUUUCGGGGAGUGUUAUAGCCCGGGUGAAUGCCGCCAGUUCCGACCGAGGACCGCGCCUUCGGGCUAGGAUGCUUGGCAUAAUGGUCUUCAGCGACCCGUCUUGAAACACGGACCAAGGAGUCUAACAUCUAUGCGAGUGUUUGGGUGUCAAACCCUUACGCGAAAUGAAAGUGAACGGAGGUGGGAACCCGCAAGGGCGCACCAUCGACCGGUCCUGAAGUCUUCUGAAGGAUCUGAGUAGGAGCAUAGCUGUUGGGACCCGAAAGAUGGUGAACUAUGCCUGAAUAGGGUGAAGCCAGAGGAAACUCUGGUGGAGGCUCGCAGCGGUUCUGACGUGCAAAUCGAUCGUCAAAUUUGGGUAUAGGGGCGAAAGACUAAUCGAACCCAUCUAAUCGCU